rnacentral:rRNA from 1 species
UGGUCAAGCUACUAAGGGUGGACGGUGGAUGCCUUGGCGCACAGAGGCGAUGAAGGACGUGGCAAGCUGCGAUAAGCCCGGGGGAGCCGCAAACAGGCUUUGAUCCCGGGAUUUCCGAAUGGGGCAACCCCUUCCGGGUCAUACCGGAAGAUCCUUCGCUGAAUUCAUAGGCGAUGAGAAGCUAACCCGGGGAAGUGAACCAUCUCAGUACCCGGAGGAAGAGAAAGCAAUUGCGAUUCCGUCAGUAGCGGCGAGCGAAAGCGGAACAGCCCAAACCUCGAGGGCGCAAGUUCUCGGGGGGUUGUGGGGCGGAAUACGGCGUAAGCCAGGAAGUUACCAAAGACCAACUUAGCCGAAGGCUCUGGAAAGUGCCGCGAAACAGGGUGAUAGCCCCGUAGGCGAAAAGUUCGGUCUCUUCCCGUUCCGUUCCCGAGUACCACGGGGCACGAGAAACCCUGUGGGAAUCCGGGUGGACCAUCACCCAAGGCUAAAUACUCCUGUGCGACCGAUAGUGAACCAGUACCGUGAGGGAAAGGUGAAAAGAACCCCCGUGAGGGGAGUGAAAUAGUACCUGAACCCGUCCAUCUACAAGCAGUGGAACCACCAUGGGGCAACCCGGUGGGACCGCGUGCCUUUUGCAUAAUGAGCCGGCUAGUUAAUUUCAGCGGCAAGGCGAAGCAACGUGCAGAGCCGUAGCGAAAGCGAGUCUUAAUAGGGCGUCCCAGUCGCUGGGAUUACACGCGAAGCGGGAUGAUCUACCCUUGGUCAGGAUGAAGCCUGGGUAACACCAGGUGGAGGUCCGAACCGGUGUUGGUUGAAAACAACUCGGAUGAACUGAGGGUAGGGGUGAAAGGCUAAUCAAAUUCCGUUAUAGCUCGUUCUCUCCGAAAUAGCUUUAGGGCUAGCCUUGCGUGAAUGUCAACGGUGGUAAAGCGCUGGAUGGACUAGGGGCCUUUCCCGGUUACCGAAUCCAACCAAACUCUGAAUGCCGUUGAGCACUGCGCGGGAGUCAGACAGUGGGGGAUAAGCUUCAUUGUCGAAAGGGAAAGAACCCAGACCGCCUGCUAAGGUCCCUCAAUCGUGGCUAAGUGGAAAAGGAUGUGGAGACGCCCUGACAGCCAGGAGGUUGGCUUAGAAGCAGCCAUCCUUUAAAGAAAGCGUAAUAGCUCACUGGUCAAGCGGCUCCGUGCCCACAAUUCAACGGGGCUCAAGCCACGUACCGAAGCAGCGGAUGCGGAGAGAUCUUCGGAUCUUUCCGCGUGGUAGGAGAGCAUUCCAAUUUGAGUGAAGUCAGACCGCGAGGACUGGUGGACGAAUUGGAAGAGACCCUGCCGGCACAAGUAGCGAAAAAGCAGAUGAGAACUCUGCUCGCCGUAAAUCUAAGGAUUCCUGAGCAAGGUCAAUCCGCUCAGGGUUAGUCGGUCCCUAAGGCCAGGCCGAAAGGCGUAGCCGAUGGACAUCAGGCCAAAAUUCCUGAACCGCCGAAGAGUCGUUAUUACGAAGGGGGGACGCAGGAGGCUAGACGUACCGGGUGUUGGACAUCCCGGGCCAAGCUCGUAGGUGGAAGAGACAGGCAAAUCCGUUUCUUCACUAACACCGAGAAGCGAGUGCGAGACCGCAAGGUCACAAAGUCGUCGAUGCCACGCUGCCGAGAAAAACCUCUAAGGAGACUCUUGGGCGACCGUACCGCAAACCGACACAGGUAGAUGAGGAGAAAAUCCUAAGGCGCUCGAGUGAAGCGUUGUCAAGGAACUCGGCAAAUUAACACCGUAACUUCGGAAGAAGGUGUGCCUCAUAGGGUCGAGGGGUUCGCCCCCGAGGCCCCGUGGGGUCGCAGUAAAACGGCCCAAGCGACUGUUUAAUAAAAACACAGGACUCUGCAAAGUCGAAAACGACGUAUAGGGUCUGACGCCUGCCCGGUGCUGGAAGGUUAAGGAGAGUGGUCAGCCGCAAGGCGAAGCUACGAACCGAAGCCCCAGUAAACGGCGGCCGUAACUAUAACGGUCCUAAGGUGGACUCGCUGCCUUAGUAAAAUCUGGCCAUAUGCUGGAACAUCUGAGUAUCUCCGGCUACUCGCCGCGCCGCGCGGCAGUGAAAAUGCAGGGAGUGCAGAGAAUCAGCAGGAAAGAUCGCUUCGAUG